GACGAACGCUGGCGGCGUGCUUAACACAUGCAAGUCGAACGGAAAGGCCCUGCUUGCCGGGUGCUCGAGUGGCGAACGGGUGAGUAACACGUGGGUGAUCUGCCCCUUACUUUGGGAUAAGCCUGGGAAACUGGGUCUAAUACCGGAUAGGACCAUGCUGUAGGUGGUGUGGUGGAAAGAUUAGUUUCGGUAAGGGAUGAGCUCGCGGCCUAUCAGCUUGUUGGUGGGGUAAUGGCCUACCAAGGCGUCGACGGGUAGCCGGCCUGAGAGGGUGGACGGCCACAUUGGGACUGAGAUACGGCCCAGACUCCUACGGGAGGCAGCAGUGGGGAAUAUUGCACAAUGGGCGCAAGCCUGAUGCAGCGACGCCGCGUGGGGGAUGACGGCCUUCGGGUUGUAAACUCCUUUCAGCCAUGACGAAGCCCUUGUGGUGACGGUAGUGGUAGAAGAAGCACCGGCUAACUACGUG
rnacentral:rRNA from 1 species